AACGAACGCUGGCGGCAUGCCUAACACAUGCAAGUCGAACGAGACCUUCGGGUCUAGUGGCGCACGGGUGCGUAACGCGUGGGAACCUGCCCUUAGGUUCGGAAUAACUCCCCGAAAGGGGUGCUAAUACCGGAUAAUGUCUUCGGACCAAAGAUUUAUCGCCUUUGGAUGGGCCCGCGUUGGAUUAGCUAGUUGGUAGGGUAAAAGCCUACCAAGGCGACGAUCCAUAGCUGGUCUGAGAGGAUGAUCAGCCACACUGGGACUGAGACACGGCCCAGACUCCUACGGGAGGAAGCAGUGGGGAAGAUUGGAAAAUGGGCGAAAGCAUGAUCAAGCAAUGCGGCGUGAGUGAUGAAGGCCUGAGGGUUGUAAAGCUCUGUUACCCGGGAUGAUAAUGACAGUACCGGGAGAAUAAGCCCCGGCUAACUCC
rnacentral:rRNA from 1 species